rnacentral:rRNA from 1 species
GAUGAACGCUGGCGGCGUGCCUAAUACAUGCAAGUCGAGCGAACAGACGAGGAGUUUCCCCCUCUGACGUUAGCGGCGGACGGGUGUGUAACACGUGGAAAACCCAUCUAUAAGACUGGGAUAACUGCGGGAAACCGGAGCUAAUCCCGGAUAAUAUAUUGAACCGCAUGGUUCAAUAGAGAAAGACGGUUUUGCUGUCACUUAUAGAUGGAUCCGCGCCGCAUUAGCUAGUUGGUAAGGUAACGGCUUACCAAGGCAACGAUGCGUAGCCGACCUGAGAGGGUGAUCGGCCACACUGGAACUGAGACACGGUCCAGACUCCUACGGGAGGCAGCAGUAGGGAAUCUUCCGCAAUGGGCGAAAGCUUGCCGGAGCAACGCCGCGUGAGUGAUGAGGGUCUUCGGAUCGUAAAACUCUGUUAUUAGGAAAGAACAAAUGUGUAAGUAACUAUGCACGUCUUGACGGUACCUAAUCAGAAAGCCACGGCUAACUACGUG